rnacentral:tRNA from 1 species
GCGCCCGUAGCUCAGUAGGAUAGAGCGUUAGUUUCCUAAACUAUAGGCCGGUGGUUCGAAUCCACUCGGGUGCACCA